AAAGUAUUCCUUUCGUUCCAAAUUACUUGUCGCAGAAAAUGAUGUAUCUAGAACUAAAAUACAUCUAGAUACAUCCAUACCUGCGACAAGUAAUUUAAAAUGGAGGGAGUAGGAA
rfam:Triticum urartu cultivar G1812 contig1056207, whole genome shotgun sequence.